rnacentral:pre_miRNA from 1 species
UAUAAGGGAUUUUGAGUUUUUGCUUGCAACGUUUGACCACUCGUCUUAUUCAAAAUUUUCUAAAAUUAUUAUUUAUUUUAUUUGUGACUUACUUUAUUAUCUAUAGUACUUCAAGCACAACUUUUCGUUUUUUAUAUUUGUAAAAAAAAUUGAAUAAGACGAGUGAUCAAACGUUGCAAGCAAAAACUCAAAAUCUCUUAUA